rnacentral:lncRNA from 1 species
CAGCUUCUGAACAAGUAAGAUCUUAAGAACUUAGAGGCGGACAUCUCACAUCAAAGAACAUCACGAUGAACAGAUAUCUGUGGAGCUGUGCAGCAUUAUUGACUCUGUUUGUUACAGUUGAGUCCCUUUCCUGCUACACCUGUGAUGAGGGGAUCCUCGGCUACUGCCUCGUCCAGGAGGCUGUAAAUUGCACCAAAACUCAGGACAAAUGCUACGUUGCAGUUGCCAAGUUUUCUUCGGACCUGCUCGAUAUCCAUGAACGAGGCUGCACAAACAGCUCCGGCUGUGAUAACAGUCGUGGGAGCAUUCUGAAUGUGAACUACACCAUCAGCAGGACCUGCUGCAACAGCACCCUCUGUAACACAGCGGCCGGUCCAGAGCUGCCGCUCACUGCAGCUCUGGCUGCUUCUCUGCUGGCAGUUUGGAGCCAGUGGGGCCUUUAAAGACGACUAUAGCCGGAAGAAAAAGCGUUGCUGCACAUUUUAAUUGAAAAAUUCCAUCUUUUUUGUUCUGUAAUUUCUGUGUCCACAGGAUAUAUCAUGGAGGGAUACUGGCUGCAUAACUCUUCACAGCAUCCUGUGAGGAUACAGUUGUUACUGUAAUAUACAUUAGUAUCUCUUCACUGUAUCAGGACUUAAUUUCUAUCUAUGUAUUUCUCAUUUUUAACACCUCAUUAAUGUCAUUUUAAAACCUUUACCUGCAUGAUACCCCUGUACUGGCUAGACUUUGUUUAAUUUAUUAUAUGCUAAAGGCAACUCAAUCC